UUUCUCGGUUCAACAAACUUCGAGUUGUGGUGGCCGAUGACGGUUCCGAAGCCCCGGAAAGGCCUGUUAACGGGGCGCACCCGACCCUCCAGGCCGACGAUGAUUCCUUACUGGACCAAGACUUACCUUUGACCAACAGUCAGCUGAGUUUGAAGGUGGACUCCUGUGACAACUGCAGCAAACAGAGAGAGAUACUGAAGCAGAGAAAGGUGAAAGCCAGGUUGACCAUUGCUGCCGUUCUGUACUUGCUUUUCAUGAUUGGAGAACUUGUAGGUGGAUACAUUGCAAAUAGCCUAGCAAUCAUGACAGAUGCACUUCAUAUGUUAACUGACCUAAGCGCCAUCAUACUCACCCUGCUUGCUUUGUGGCUAUCAUCAAAAUCACCAACCAAAAGAUUCACCUUUGGAUUUCAUCGCUUAGGCUGGAAUACAAUGACACCAUCAUAGCUCACUGCACCGUCGAACUCCUGAGCUCUAGAAAUCUUACCCUCGCAGCCUCCAGAGUAGCUAGGACUGCAUGCAUAUACCACCAUACCCAGCUAAUUUUUUAAUUUUUU
rnacentral:lncRNA from 1 species